rnacentral:sRNA from 1 species
AUUACAUUUAUCUUAAAUCACACACGUAUUUUUAACUGAUUUCGGGGUGCUUUAGCGUCAAAUAGACAAAAAAGUUCGAAAUUUAGGAUACGUGGAGGCCUAAC